rnacentral:rRNA from 1 species
AGUGAACGCUGGCGGUAGGCCUAACACAUGCAAGUCGAACGGCAGCACAGGAGAGCUUGCUCUCUGGGUGGCGAGUGGCGGACGGGUGAGGAAUACAUCGGAAUCUACUCUGUCGUGGGGGAUAACGUAGGGAAACUUACGCUAAUACCGCAUACGACCUACGGGUGAAAGCAGGGGACCUUCGGGCCUUGCGCGAUGGAAUGAGCCGAUGUCGGAUUAGCUAGUUGGCGGGGUAAAGGCCCACCAAGGCGACGAUCCGUAGCCGGUCUGAGAGGAUGAUCAGCCACACUGGAACUGAGACACGGUCCAGACUCCUACGGGAGGCAGCAGUGGGGAAGAUUGGACAAUGGGCGCAAGCCUGAUCCAGCCAUACCGCGUGGGUGAAGAAGGCCUUCGGGUUGUAAAGCCCUUUUGUUGGGAAAGAAAUCCAGCUGGCUAAUACCCGGUUGGGAUGACGGUACCCAAAGAAUAAGCACCGGCUAACUUCGUGCCAGCCGCCGCCGUAA